ensembl:lncRNA
AUUUACAUUAAAAGCCUCCUUUGCCUGCAGCGGUGCUAUGCGAAGAUCCCGAUGUAAAAAAUGCUGCCAAGGAGGAGGGUUCCAAGCCCCCUUACAAAGUCAAGUCUACGGUGACUUUUAGUUGCGUAUCUGGAUAUACUAUGACAGGAACUCGCACCCAAACAUGUGGACUAAAUGGUCAGUGGGCGCCUGGACUUCCAACGUGUGCACGUGACUCUGGGACGGUUGAUCCUCCUGAAAACAAAGGAAAUGGGAUGGCUAUAGGGUUGGGUCUAGGUUUGACCGUCCUCAUUGGUAGUGUCCUCACUGUCUUGGGAUGCUAUUUCUGUGGAGUUCCGGCAUGCAUCAAAGAGAAAAAACGGUAAAAUGUUGUGACUUCUUCUCUUUACAUCUCAGACCAUUUACUAAUGGCGCCUGAUGUCGGUCAACUCUUUCCUAACCUCCUUAUAUCGUGGCGUUUGGUCAGUACUUUCUUACUGACUCUGUCAGCUGUUGCAUGUUGAAGUUGGGUGCAUUGUAAGUUUUUAUUUAUUUAUUUAUUUUUAAAUUUUGGUUAUUGCUCUACUGCACAGUGCCAAUGAUCAUGUCAUUUAGACUGGUAUACAAACGAGAUGUUCCACACACACCUUCUAAACGGCAUACGCAACAAAUGUAGUAUGCCAGUGGUCUUCCUUUGCUAAUUGAGGCUGGGAAUGCAGAAGGCCCCUUAACAGCUGAUCUUAGAAUCCACCAAAGCACUGUGCGGUUUACGUAUGAUUUCUAAUUUCCAUU